rnacentral:rRNA from 1 species
UCGGGAAUCUUGGACAAUGGGCGCAAGCCUGAUCCAGCCAUGCCGCGUGGAUGAUGAAGGCCUUAGGGUUGUAAAAUCCUUUCGUUGGGGACGAUAAUGACGGUACCCAAAGAAGAAGCUCCGGCUAACUUCGUGCCAGCAGCCGCGGUAAUACGAAGGGGGCUAGCGUUGUUCGGAUUUACUGGGCGUAAAGCGCGUGUAGGCGGACUUGUAAGUUGGGGGUGAAAUCCCGAGGCUCAACCUCGGAACUGCCUCCAAAACUACAAAUCUGGACCUAAGUAGAGGCAAGUGGAAUUGCGAGUGUAGAGGUGAAAUUCGUAGAUAUUCGCAGGAACACCAGUGGCGAAGGCGACUUGCUGGACUUAUGGUGACGCUGAGACGCGAAAGCGUGGGGAGCAAACAGGAUUAGAUACCCUUGUAGUCCCUGAGCGGGCUGGCAAGGCGCAU